rnacentral:rRNA from 1 species
AUUGAACGCUGGCGGCAUGCUUUACACAUGCAAGUCGAACGGUAACAGGCCGCAAGGUGCUGACGAGUGGCGAACGGGUGCGUAAUGCAUCGGAACGUGCCCAGUCGUGGGGGAUAACUACUCGAAAGAGUAGCUAAUACCUCAUACGAUCUAUGGAUGAAAGCGGGGGACCGUAAGGCCUCGCGCGAUUGGAGCGGCCGAUGUCAGAUUAGGUAGUUGGUGGGGUAAAGGCUCACCAAGCCAACGAUCUGUAGCUGGUCUGAGAGGACGACCAGCCACACUGGGACUGAGACACGGCCCAGACUCCUACGGGAGGCAGCAGUGGGGAAUUUUGGACAAUGGGCGCAAGCCUGAUCCAGCAAUGCCGCGUGCAGGAAGAAGGCCUUCGGGUUGUAAACUGCUUUUGUACGGAACGAAACGGCUCUGGUUAAUACCCGGGGCUAAUGACGGUACCGUAAGAAUAAGCACCGGCUAACUACGUG